CCUGCACGCGGAGCCCGCGCGCGCGUCCGCGGGCGCGUCUGGGACGGCGGCGGCGGCCUGCACGCGGGUCCGGGACUACAGCGGCGGCCAGCACGCGGAUCCGGAGCCCCCGCGCGCGUGUCCGGGUCUCCGGGACGGCGGCGGCGGCCUGCACGUGGAUCCCGCGCGGCCCCCUCGACGACGCAGUCUGCACCCCCUCGCUCGCAGCUUGGUCUGAUGUCGUCGCAUCGAUCCCCAAUUUCCCGACGUGGUGUGGGGUGGCUACACAGCACCGGAUCUCCGACGAAAGCGCUGGAUUUGUCAUGGGUUCCAGAUGGGAUGGACCGCAACACGGCUUGUAGAUUUGCCAUCCGCAUCCCUAGCUAUCAGGAGCAUGGUACACAUGUGAUUCAUGCCACCUGCAAUAAGAACUGGGUUCGUGAUAAGGAUACAAUUUCAUGG